rnacentral:misc_RNA from 1 species
AAGUCGUAACAAGGUCUCCGUUGGUGAACCAGCGGAGGGAUCAUUAAUAGAGGGCCGAAAGCUCCCUAAACCCACUGUGAACCUACUCAUAUGUUUUUUUGCUUCGGCAGGCGGCCCCAGGGCGGGUGCCACGGCCUCUUCGGUGAGGUGCCUGCCGGGCGCUACCAAACCCAACUGUUGCUGUAGUGUUGUUCCGAGCACCCAAAAAACAAAAUCAAAACUUUCAACAACGGAUCUCUUGGUUCU